rnacentral:rRNA from 1 species
UACGGGGGGGGCAAGCGUUGUUCGGAAUUACUGGGCGUAAAGAGCUCGUAGGUGGUUUGUCGCGUCGACUGUGAAAAUCCGGGGCUCAACCCCGGACUUGCAGUGGGUACGGGCAGACUAGAGUGUGGUAGGGGAGACUGGAAUUCCUGGUGUAGCGGUGAAAUGCGUAGAUAUGUGGAGGAACACCGAUGGCGAAGGCAGAUCUCUGGGCCGUAACUGACGCUGAGGAGCGAAAGCGUGGG